UGUGGAUGCACGGAAAAAUGGUUAGGAUGGAAAAUUUUAUGUUAGGUAUGUUUCACCACAAUGUUUAAAAAGUUAAAAGUGAAGCCAUUAGAAAAUGACGGUGGAGGUGGGCAGGGUGGCAGAAGCCCAAGGUGCCACUUUUCCACACCUGCAGGGAGGGGGCUGGAAGAUGAGCAGCAAAAGUCCAGACACGGACACUGGGGGACGCAGUGCAACCAUGGGACCCCAGAUCCUGCCUGCAGCCAUUCGUUCCAGAAAGGAAUGACACAGAGCUGGGGAGGAGGCGGAGGAGCAGACAGACUGAUAGCUACCAAGUGCCUGCGCUGUCAAGAAGCUUCCACAUCUGUGGAAUCACUUAAUGCUUCCAGCCUAUGAGCUCAGCUUUAUUGGCCUCCGUGUCAGAGCUGAGUGAACCAAGGCCCAGAAGAUACAGGUGUCGCCGCUACUGAGCCUGCCACCAGUGUCACUGGUGCCAGAGACGUCCCAGUCCUGUCCUGGGCCGAUCCUGGGAGGGGAGGAAUACAGCUCUCCUGGCAUCAGGACCUUGGUUAAAGGAGCAAAAUUCUCUGAGCCCGUUUUCGAAAUCUUACUGAAAAGAGCACCUACCUGACAAAUUUCACGAUAAAAUGAGAACACACUAUGUGUGCUGGUCGCAGUCAGCUGGCGGCCACAUCCUGCAGGUCUGGUGGGUCGGCUCACCCCUCUUCCUGGGCCCCUUUGUGGCUCCAGACCAGCCUGAGAGAGUGGGCUUUGUCUGGUGAGACCAUUACUUUUACAGUUCGAGGGACUCAUUCUUUGGCCUCAGGUGUUGGUGGGGUGUGUGUGUGUGUGUAAUUCAGUCAGAAAUCUCAUCUCAGCCUGAGGAUUGCAGAUUUUUGCAGUGACUCAUUCUUUGGCCUCAGGUGUUGGUGGUGGGGUGGGUGGGUGUGUGUGUUUAGUUCAGUCAGAAAUCUCAUCUCAGCCUGGGGAUUGCAGAUUUUUGCAGUGAGGUUCCCACCCCUGACGCUUCAGAUAGCACAGGUUGGGUCUGCAGCAGUUGGAGUCUUUCCAGAAAGUGACUUCAUGUGACCUCAAUUGGGCCUGGUUCCCAGUUACCCUUUCUGUAGGGAACCAAUGCAGAUGUCCGUUAAGCCUGGAGGCUCUGGGGUCAGCUUGGGGACUAAGAAAAACACCUGGGUUUGAAUUCUGGUCUAGCCAGUAUCCACUUCUCCAGUGAAUGACUCAAGCAAAGGAUUCACUUGCUCCAGCUCUCAAUUUUCUUGUCUUGGAAAUUAAGUACAAAUUAAGUAAUACUGACCUCCUGUGGCUAUUGUGAGUAUUAAAUGAAACACUUCCAUAUCUGUGGUUCAGAAUGCAUACAUUCAGCCAACCUUGGAUGGAAAGUUUUUUCCAAAUACUUUCCAAAGUUCCAAAAAAGCAAAGCUUGAAUUUUCUGUGAGCCUGGCAACUGUUUACAUAGCAUUUACAUUGAAUUAGGUAUUAUAAGAAAUCUAGGCGUUCCCGGUCGUGGCUCAGUGGUUAACGAAUCCGACUAGGAACCAUGAGGUUGUGAGUUCGAU